GGGGGGUGGAAAGCUUUAUUGUGGUUUUGGAUGGACUCGCGGCCUAUCAGCUUGUUGGUGAGGUAAUGGCUCACCAAGGCGACGACGGGUAGCCGGCCUGAGAGGGUGACCGGCCACACUGGGACUGAGACACGGCCCAGACUCCUACGGGAGGCAGCAGUGGGGAAUAUUGCACAAUGGGCGAAAGCCUGAUGCAGCGACGCCGCGUGAGGGAUGACGGCCUUCGGGUUGUAAACCUCUUUCAGUAGGGAAGAAGCGAAAGUGACGGUACCUGCAGAAGAAGCGCCGGCUAACUACGUGCCAGCAGCCGCGGUAAUACGUAGGGCGCAAGCGUUAUCCGGAAUUAUUGGGCGUAAAGAGCUCGUAGGCGGUUUGUCGCGUCUGCCGUGAAAGUCCGGGGCUCAACUCCGGAUCUGCGGUGGGUACGGGCAGACUAGAGUGAUGUAGGGGAGACUGGAAUUCCUGGUGUAGCGGUGAAAUGCGCAGAUAUCAGGAGGAACACCGAUGGCGAAGGCAGGUCUCUGGGCAUUAACUGACGCU
rnacentral:rRNA from 1 species